AAUUCACUAGUGAUUUUGGAGGGCAAGUCUGGUGCCAGCAGCCGCGGUAAUUCCAGCUCCAAUAGCGUAUAUUAAAGUUGUUGCAGUUAAAAAGCUCGUAGUUGAAUUUCGGGACCAAUAUGUCGGUCGUGCCUCGGUACGUACUUGCAUUAUUGGUUUCUCCCUUCUGAAGAACCAUGAUGUCAUUAAUUUGGUGUCUUGGGGAAUCAGGACUGUUACUUUGAAAAAAUUAGAGUGUUUAAAGCAGGCAUACGCUUGAAUACAUUAGCAUGGAAUAAUGAAAUAGGACGUUUGAUUCUAUUUUGUUGGUUUCUAGGAUCGACGUAAUGAUUAAUAGGGAUAGUUGGGGGCAUUAGUAUUCAAUUGUCAGAGGUGAAAUUCUUGGAUUUAUUGAAGACUAACUACUGCGAAAGCAUUUGCCAAGGAUGUUUUCAUUAAUCAAGAACGAAAGUUAGGGGAUCGAAGACGAUCAGAUACCGUCGUAGUAAUAACCAUAAACUAUGCCGACUAGGGAUCGGAUGAUGUUAUUAAGGGGACUCAUUCGGCGCCUUACGGGAAACAAUCG
rnacentral:rRNA from 1 species